ACCCAGCUGACGAAUCCCAAAUAGGACGAAAUGUGCGUUCUGGAU
rnacentral:hammerhead_ribozyme from 1 species